rnacentral:rRNA from 1 species
CCGUGCCCAAGAGAUCGGGAUAACACCUGGAAACAGAUGCUAAUACCGGAUAACAACAGAUGAUGCCUAUCAACUGUUUAAAAGAUGGUUCUGCUAUCACUCUUGGAUGGACCUGCGGUGCAUUAGCUAGUUGGUAGGGUAACGGCCUACCAAGGCGAUGAUGCAUAGCCGAGUUGAGAGACUGAUCGGCCACAUUGGGACUGAGACACGGUCCAAACUCCUACGGGAGGCAGCAGCU